AGCGGCUUGAAAUGCUCAAGCAUGUCCGUGUGUCAGAAGUAGACACAUUCAUCAAAGGUUUGCACAGUUUUUAUGCAGGAAAUGUGGGCUCCCCUGCGAAGGUGAAUAUAAGCAAAUUGUUGGAAAGCUUGACGUUCAACAUAAACCUUAGAACAAUAGUCGGGAAGCGAUAUUGCAGCAGCACAUAUGACAAGGAGAACAGCGAGCCCUGGCGUUACAAAAAAGCCAUAAAAAAAGCCUUGUAUCUGAGUGGGAUUUUUGUAAUGUCGGAUGCGAUUCCAUUUCUUGAAUGGCUUGAUUACCAGGGGCAUGUAAGUGCCAUGAAGAAGACUGCCAAGGAACUUGAUGCCGUGAUACGAAAUUGGCUGGAAGAACAUCUUAAGAAAAAAAAAGAUGGCGAAUUGGGAAGCGAUCGUGAGAGCGACUUCAUGGACGUGAUGAUCUCUAACCUUGCCGAAGGUCCUGAUAAGAUUUCUGGCUAUUCGCGUGAUGUUGUCAUCAAGGCAACAGCUUUGGUACGUUUCCCAACUGUAAGCCUUUAGUACCUCUUUUUUUUUUGGGCUGGCAGGUGAGGGGGAGCACCGCAGAGACCUUCCAGUCUCCUACCAAUUGCGCUAGCGUUCAGGUGGUAAUUGACUUGCAAAUAUUUUCAUUUUCACACGUUUUGUUGUAAUUUUGCAGAUUCUGACUCUCACAGGAGCAGGAAGCACAGCAACUACAUUAGUUUGGACGCUGUCCCUAUUGCUAAACAACCCGGCCGUGCUAAAGACUGCUCAAGAAGAGCUGGACAAGCAAGUAGGAAGAGAAAGAUGGGUGGAAGAAUCAGAUAUACAGAACCUCAGGUACCUCCAAGCAAUUGUGAAAGAAACCCUGCGCUUAUACCCUCCAGGCCCCUUAACAGGAAUACGUGAGGCCAUGGAAGAUUGUUCUAUUGGUGGCUAUGAUGUUCCUAAGGGCACUCGACUAGUAGUAAACAUAUGGAAGCUGCAUCGAGACCCUCGUGUGUGGAAAAACCCAAACGAGUUUAAACCUGACAGGUUCUUGACAACCCAUGCUGAUCUUGAUUUUAGGGGUCAAAAUAUGGAGUUCAUUCCUUUUAGCUCGGGGAGAAGAUCUUGCCCUGCCAUAAAUCUUGGCUUGAUAGUGGUUCAUCUGACACUUGCUAGGAUCCUUCAGGGUUUUGAUUUAACAACUGUUGCAGGCUUGCCUGUGGACAUGAUUGAAGGCCCAGGCAUUGCCUUGCCGAAGGAGACCCCUCUCGAAGUUGUCAUUAAACCACGCCUAGGAUUGGAGCUCUACUAGGUAUCAAUGCCUUUGUCUUCACCACCACAUAUAUACAUCAAUAAAAAAAAGUUGAUUUAGGCAUGUUAACAAGUCAAGCGUAUGAGCUUGCGUCAGAUUAUAUGCUACUAUGCUAUGUAAUGAAGCGAAUACCAACAAAUGUCUGAUUUGUGGUGUUGGCUAUGAAUAUAAUGCCCUUUUCUUUUGAUUUUUAUUUGGCCUUUCUUACCUUUUUUUUUUUUUUAUUAACCUGAGUGUUCAGGUUAGCUUGCGCGUACCUCGAUUAAUUUUACGAGACGUGAAGUUAAUGACUAUGUAAACCUCCAAUGGAUUUGAGAUUUAUGAGAUUUGAAAUGGUAAUUUCUAGAAAACAUAUUCAAAAUCUAACUAAUUAGGUAAAAGAAGAGCCAAAAGAAAAAUCUUGUGCUUUUAGCUUUUUUUUUUUUUUUUUUUUAUGUCAACUCUAACGGGUAGCUAAACUCACAAAUAAAAUAGUUGUUGAGUACGGUAAAAGCUAUUUCUAUCUUUUUCUGUAGCGAAAGGCAUAUGAAGACGUUGACAACCGUAUUUUUCUCUGUUGACUUAUAUCCGUUGGCCAACGUAUUCAUUUUAUAUCCGUUAGCCAACGUUAAUGUUUUUCAUUUAAAAGCAGAACCAACCGAAGGAAGAAGACAACAUUUAAGCAAAAACAGAAGGAAAAAAAACUUACCUGCAAAUUUCACCCUUCUCUUUGAUUUAGAAAACAAGAAUUAAUUGUUCUCCGGUUAAUUAAUAACAUCGAUUGUGUUAAUUAGCUGAAAUCAAAAGGUAUGUUUGCUUAAAGACUUUUUCUAUUUUUAUUAUUUUUUUGCAUCUCUUGAUUUUUAUUUGCUAUUUGUAAUGAUUUUUAUUUCUUUGUUAUUUUAUGUUUUUGAUCUGGGUUAAGGAAGACAAUUUUUAUUUAUGUUAUUAUCUUUGACAAAAUUGAAAGGAAGUAAUGAUGGUAGCUGAUAUUGAUAAAAAUAGCUGUUGAGUACGGUAAAAGCUAUUUCUAUCUUUUUCUGUAGCGAAAGGCAUAUGAAGACGUUGGCAACCGUAUUUUUCUCUGUUGACUUAUAUCCGUUGGCCAACGUAUUCAUUUUAUAUCCGUUAGCCAACGUUAAUGUUUUUCAUUUAAAAGCAGAACCAACCGAAGGAAGAAGACAACAUUUAAGCAAAAACAGAAGGAAAAAAAACUUACCUGCAAAUUUCACCCUUCUCUCUGAUUUAGAAAACAAGAAUUAAUUGUUCUCCGGUUAAUUAAUAACAUCGAUUGUGUUAAUUAGCUGAAAUCAAAAGGUAUGUUUGCUUAAAGACUUUUUCUAUUUUUAUUAAUUUUUUGCAUCUCUUGAUUUUUAUUUGCUAUUUGUAAUGAUUUUUAUUUCUUUGUUAUUUUAUGUUUUUGAUCUGAGUUAAGGAAGACAAUUUUUAUUUAUGUUGUUAUCUUUGACAAAAUUGAAAGGAAGUAAUGAUGGUAGCUGAUAUUGAUAAAAGCAUGGAGUGACAUAGAUGGUAGCUGAUAUUGAUAAAAGCAUGGAGUGACAUAUCUUAUUUUAUUUUUGAUUGUCUAUUUUAAUUUUAGAUCAAUUAUAUUUUGUCUUGUUAAAAAUACAACUAAACCAAGUGAUUAGAUUAAUUGUAUGAUUAGAUUAAUGUUAGAACAAGUAGAAGGCAAUUCUUAUUAUUAAUUCACAUGUAUGGAAACUACAAAAUUGCUAGACAUUGAAUGUGAGCUUCCUUUACACCUUUUUAUAAGGUUUUAACUUGAGUUUUUUUUUUUUUUAAUGUAGAUGGAUUCAAAUUUUCCAAGCUCUUUUACCAAUUUUCUUAUGAGCGAGUCAGAAGAUAUUCUCCCUCAACCAAGUGAUUCUAAUCAAUUAAUUAAUGACUUAACAUACUCGAAUUUAAAUGUCAAUACAAUAAAAAAAUCACAAAGAAGUUAAAACUUCUCACCAGAAAAAAAUUGUUUACUUGUCUCUGCAUGGUUAAAUACAAGAAAGGAUCAAAUUACAGGAGUUGAACAACAAACAAAACAAUUCUGGGCUCGUGUACAUACUUACUUUGCAGAGAAUGGAGCAAACUUGAAUAAUCGUUCCCAAAUAAGCAUCUCAAGUAGAUGGCAAGAAAUAAAUAGAGAAGUCGGUAAAUUUGUUGGAUUUUUCACUCAAAUUGAAAAUCAUCAGUAAAGUGGAAUGACCAAAGAAUAAAGGGUAAUUUUAAUAUUCAUUUCCAUGUUAAAUUAUUUAACACAUAUUUUAACAUUAUUUAAUUUAUUUAUUUAACACAUAUUUUUACAUUAUUUAAUUAAUUCAUUUUUUUACCAGAUUAAUGAUGCUCGGCAAAUGUAUGCUUCUUGCGUUGGCAAACGAUUUCAACUAGAAUAUUGUUGGGUUAUCUUAAGAAAAGAACCGAAAUGGCAAUUUAAGCGUGCAAGUUAACAUCAAAUGUCAAAUAAGAAACAAAAAAGUCAUGUCAAUGCAAGUCCAGCUUCAUCAACUCCAUCUACCCCUGAUUCUGCUAGUUUAGGAGAAGAUAGUGAACCAUUGAUUUAUCAAGAUUGACCAAUUGGUCAGAAGGCUGCAAAGGAACGACUUAAACAUAGACAAGGAAAAGAUAAAGUUAGGGAGGUAACUGUAACAAAUCUCUUACAACAAUUCAGGGAUACUCUAGUUGAAAUUGAGGAUCAGAAGAAACAAGACAGGAAAAUUCUGUUAGAGCAAUAAGCCAUGAUGAUUCAACAAAGUCAAGAGAAACAAGAAUUGGACAAGAUUGAGAAAGAAGAACAAAUUAUGAAAAUAGAUAUUUCUAAUUUGGAUCCAAUUUCUGCAACGUAUUUUCAAAAUAGAAAGUUAGAAAUUAUGAAAAAGAGGGGUUUAAUUUUUAUUUAACUUUGAUUGAUUUAUUGUAAUGUAAUGUAUUUUUAAUUAAAUAUGUAGAAAAUUAUUGGUUAUUUUAAAUAUAUUGUUAUGAAAUUGAUAUCAAUUCAUAAUACUUUUUUGAAGUUCCUCUAACACUUAACAAUAAUCAGUAGGAUUAAUUAACUUAAAAGAUAACAACCAUAAUGAAAAAAAAACAUAAAAAAACUUGAAAAUUAUUAUAACAUAAGAAGUUCAAAUCUAAAGAUUCUACUUGUUGCCAUAUUGAUCCCACAAAUGUUCGAUCAAAUUUUCUUGUAGUUGAGAGCUAGUUGCUCUAUCCCUAAUUCGAUUAUGAGUUUGAAGAAAAUCAUAUAGUUCUAGUAUUUCACCAUGUGACACUGAUAUAAAGGAAUUGACUUCAUGUUCAUGGUCAAAUCCAAGGUUCAUUGCUCCUUCAUCCUCAAUAAUUAUUAUGCAUUAUUAUGCAAGCUUUCCUAAUAUAUGCAAGUGUUUCUUCAUCCCAGUAUCGAACAGGUACACGUACAAUUGCAAAACGAGAUUGGAGCACCCCAAAUACCCGCUCUACAUCCUUUCUUGCAGACUCUUGCUUGCUUGCAAAAUAUUUUCUCUUUGCUCCUAAUGGUCUUGAGAUUGUCUUAACAAAGGUUGACCAAUUAUGAUAAAUCUCAUCUGCUAAAUAGUAUCCCAUUGUAUAUUCAUGCCCAUUAAUUGUAUAAUUAAGAGGAGCAGUACGACCUUCAGUAAGUGCAGCAAAGAUAGGUGACCGAUCAAGAACAUUAAUAUCAUUUAAUGAUCCAGGCAUUCUAAAAAAGGCAUGCCAUAUCCAAAGAUCUUGUGAAGCCACCGCCUCUAGAAUUAUAGUUGGUUCACGACAAUGACCAGUAUACAUCCCAUGCCAUGCAAUUGAGCAUUUCUCCUAUUUCCAAUGCAUACAAUUAAUGCUCCCUAACAUCCCUGGAAAUCCACGUUGCUCUCCAAUUGAUAAUAAUCGACAAAUAUCGGCCUCAUUUGGUGCCCUUAGAUACCAAUCACCAAAAACUUCUACGAUUGCUUUGACGAAAGCUCUAAGACUUUCUAUUGCAGUGGUUUCUCCAAUUCGAAGAUAUUCAUCAAUAAGAUCUGCAGGAAUACCAUUUGCAAGUAUUAUAUGAGCUGCAGUUACCUUUGAAAGGCAAGAUAAAACAAGAACACCAAGAGCAUAUGUCCUUUGUUUGAAAUAUGGAUUAUGAGCAUCCACUGCAUUUGCGAUCCGAAGAAAAAGACCUAAAUCUUCUUCGAAAUUGACUUUCAGUGAAUUUAGGAUUUUCAGCAAAAUAAUCAUUAUAUAACCUUAACUCACCUUCCUUUUUAUUAUGAUUAACAAUAUUAUGACCAAGAAUAAAGCCACGAUACCCUGUUCUCCGCCCUUGAUUAUUCAAUUCUUCUUCAGCAACCAUAGAGGUAGCAACUUGAAAAGCGAACACAUGAGUGUCAUCACCAAAAUCAAAAGCAUCAUAAAAAUUAAAAUUAGAAUGAUUCAUGAUGAAUUUUAAUGAAAUAUAAAAAAUAUUGGGGAGAAGAAAAUGACAAGAAAAAAUGUUAAGGUAUAUGAGAAUAUUUAUAGAUGGAUUAUUUUUUCUAAUUGUAAAAUCUUAGAAUGUUGGCGGUAAUUUUUUCAAAAUUUAAAAUUUUAAAAUUUAAAAUGUUGGCGGUCAUUUUUUCAAAGCUUGAAUUUUUUAAAAAAAAAAUUGAAAAUCAAAAUUUAAAAUGUUGGCGGUUUUUUCAAAGUUUGAAUUUGAAUUUACUUUUAAAAAAUUAAAUUUUUAACAAUAACAUAUAAAACUUAAAAUUAAAAAUAUUCAUAUAAAUAAAUUUUACAUUUAAUUUUAAAUUAUAUCUUUUAACUUAUAUAUUACUUCAUUAAUUUUAUAUUACUUUUAUAAAUUACUCAUAUUAAUUAUAUAAUUAAUAACAUCAUAAUUAUAUUAUAUAUAAAAUAUCUAAAUUAGUUAUAUAAUUAUAUUAAAAUUAAUUUAACAUGAAAUAUAUUAAAAUAUAAUUAGCUUUUCUAAAUAGCUUUUUACCAUUGGAAUGCACAUAAUAAAAAAAAGCUAUAUUUAUACUAUUUAAAAAAGUAUUUUUUCCAUUUGGCUUUUUAAUAUAGCAUUUCCCAUUGGAGAUGCUCUAAGCAAGCUUUUAGAGCAUUUGUCUUGAUGAACUAAGGCCAUGGAUUGAUUCUGGUGGUCCUGUUGAUAAGUUCGCUUGUGUCACAGUAACAGAUCUUGCCUGGAAUGUUGAUUGCAUUGCUAAGAUCCUUUCAAAGCAUGCAUGGUCGAGAAAUUAGUUUUGAUAGGAUUAGUUAGGGGUGAGCAAAAAAACCGAAAAACCGAUUAAACCGAGAAAACUGGAAAAAAAAUAACCGAAAAAACCGAACCGAAAAAAAAAACCGAUUAGAAUUUUUAAAAAACCGACCGGUUCGGUUCGGUUUCGGUUUGAUAAGCUUGAAACCGAAAAAACCGAACCGAACCGAACCGGUUCAGUUAAAAAAAAAUACUAUAAAAGCCCUUUCUAAAUUUUUAACCCUAAACACCCCCCUCCUUCUGCAUCCAGCAGCCGCCCCCCCCCUCCAAAGCCCCCACAAGCUCCAAAGCCCCCACAAGCCACAACUCUCAAGUCUCAAUCUCCCACACUCUCGUCCAUUACUUUACAAAACUUAAUGCCCAGAUCUAGACUUCUAAUCAUCUAACAAAACUUCAACAAGGCUUCAAACUUCAUCUUCAAAUCUAACAACCCAAGGAUUGGUUUAGUGUAUGCUUCAAAUCUUCAUCUUCAAGGCUUCAGUGUUUGUUUCCUCUCAUCGCGGUUGUGUCCUUUGAAGAAAGAUUAAAGCUUUGUUGGAAUGCACUGAGCGAUGAAAAGCCAUUUUCCUUGCAACUCCUUGCUUUCUUACCAGAACUUUGUAGUCUGCAGUCCCAUGAUAGUUUUCAUGAAGCUUAUGAUGACGGAUUUGUUGUUUGUUGAGUAAUUGGGCUUUCAAAAUUUUGGGGUUUGUAGGGAAGAACAAGAGGGAAGCUGGAGAAGCUAUAAAGAAGAUUGUUAAAAAAACCCGAUCGAUUUGAUAUAGGUUUUUCUGGUUUUUAUGUUAAAAAAACCGAACCGGACCGAACCGAAACCGGUCGGUUUGAACUGAUCCCGGUUCGGUUCCGGUUCAAAAUUUUCAGUUUUUCAAAAUUUUAUUUUGGUUAGUUUUUUAGAUAAAAACCGAACCGAACCGAAAAUGCUCACCCCUAGGAUUAGUCUUCCAUUUGGCACCUGACAUCCAAGAUUUAUUCAAGAUGACAUUAUUCAAGACUUUUGUAAUAUAGUUUUAUUAGUUUGGGUGUAGAUUUAAAUGUGAAUUGUAAAUGAGUAAUGUUAAAUUAAUUGUUUUAAUUUAAAAUUUAAAAUUGUUAAAUGAGAUUUGAUACUACCAGAAAAUCGGCGAAAACCAACGAAAUUACCGAUGGAAUAUUUUGUUCCGUCUCUAAUUAUGUUGGUAUAUACUGACAGAAUAUACCCGUUGGCGAUAUGGUCGGUAAAUACCGAUGGAGUACGUAUGUCAGUAUAUACCAAUCGUAUCACCAACGGAUUAUAUAGUUUUUUUGGAAAGUUGCAACUAUGUGAUCGAUGACGUGGAUUUUUUUCAGAUGAUUUUAUCGACGAAAUGACCAAGGGAUUCAAAUCGGAAUCUCCGUACAGUGACAUGGCACAGUCACCGGUAGACUCACCGACAGGUAUAUCGACAGAAUGUGUCCGCCGGUGAUUCCAUCGGUAACAGUCGAUAUAUACUCACUCUGCCGACACUCUAUUUCUCCUUCUUCUUCCCCUUCUUGUUCCCCAUCCCACCUCUCCCCUCCCGAAUUGCAGCCAACCACCCAUCACAACUCUCCCCCUCUUCUCAACACAAGCACUCAAGUUUCUUAUACUUUUAUACGUGGUCACAACAUCUGUCAUAACCCAAUUUUUGACCAUUUUAUUUUUAUUAUUAUUAUUAUUUUAUUUAUUGAAAAGGAUAAAAAAAUUGAUGAAAAAAAAUAAAAAAACAAUAAUGAUGAUGAAGAAUGAAUUAAAUUUUGGGUUAAGGACAAAAUGAAUGGAAGUUUUGGGGUUUAAUUAAACUUUGGAAUUAAUCUAAUUAAGCUUGAAAUUAAUUUAAUUCAUCAAAUCAAGGAUUUAAUUGGAGAAUUAAUAAGUUGUGAGACUUAAUUAAGCUUGGAUUUAAUUUAAUUAAUCCAAUUAAGGGUUUAAUUGGAGAAUUGAUAAGUUUUGAGACUUAAUUAAGCUUGAAAUUAAUUUAAUUAAUCCAAUUAAGGGUUUAAUUGGAGAAUCGAUAAGUUGUGAGGCUUAAUUGGACUUGGAUUUAAUUAAAUUAAUUAAAGCAGGGACUUAAUUGAAGAAAGAUUAAAAGUUGGGGAUAAAAUUGCAAAAUUAAAAUCCAAGGGCUAAAUUGAAAUUUUCGCGCAAAUGCAGGGGGCCAAUUACAGUUUAAACCAGGGGCUUAAUUACAAAAUGUUUAAACCGUCAAGGGCCAAAAUGAAACUAACCAUUAAAACACGAAAAACGGUGCCGUUUCUCAGCACUGUUCAUCUUCUUCAAACUCUUCAGCUGCCGGCCGCCACCAUUACUGCUGCAAUAACAGUCAAUUGAUUACCUGGUAACGGUGGAAUGCUGUGGCUAUAAAGCCGGAGAAAACAAGGAAUCACUGGACGAAAAAAGGACGGGAAGCCACGAAAAAAAUCACAGAACCGGGGAGGGAGAUUAUACAGAGGAGAGAGCAAAUUUUGGCCAGCCACCGCACCUUCAUCAUCGUCUUCUUCCAGACCACGGUUGCACCCCCUUCCCCCCCGAACCGACAGACGCCAGGGCAACCAAGGGAACACAGAGGAGGGAGAGAAAAAAAAAGCCACGAACAGCAGAAAACUAAGACAGAAGAACGAACCAGAAUAGCAAAUUUUUGCUUCUUCUCAGGGGACAUAGACGAAGAGAAAUAAACAGGAGGAUAGACAGGGAGUAGAUAGAGAGAGAGCAGAGAACAAAAACAGAGGGUACCGAGAGCGGGAGGACCGAAAGCACAAGCUAAGAAAAGGAAGGAGCAAAAAGCCAGCGUUCGCGGCUUUGCUUUGGUCCCCAGAACGAAAACAAAGUGAACAAAAGAAGACAGAAAAAACAAGCAGGAAAGGAAGAACCACCAGAGGGCACCAGCAUCAUCAUCGGCUUCCUCUUCUCCAGCGCCAGCUUCCACAGCCAGAGGAAGAAGUUAAAAAGGAGAGAGGAACGAGCAGCUGACAGAAGGAAUACAUAUACAGAAGGGAAACGAACGAACACAGGGAUAUUGAGGCAAGGAUAGACGAUCAAGAAAGACUGCAAAAUCCGGAUCGCCAUUUCCAGCGCCAGGUAAGUUGCUCUUUCCUUCUGUUUAUUUUAAUUACAUGCUGCUCCUGUAGAAAAACUAAAAAAUGGCCAGCCGGGUCAAGCCUGUGACCCGGCUAGGCCGGCUGGGUCAGAGCUGGGCCCAGCUUAAAAAAAUAAAAAUAGAAAAAACAGAAAAAAUUAAAAAUAGAAAAAAUUAAAAAAUAUGUAUGCAUGAAUAAAAAUAAUAUAAAUUUACUGGUUUAUUAACUGACGCCAGAGUCAGGAAUAAAAAUAUCGGUCUAAAUUUAUAUUAUUUUUAUUCGUUGUAUUUUUAUUUUAUUUAGCUAGAAAAAAAUAAAAUAUGUGCAUGCUUAAAAAUAAUUUUUUUAAUUUAAUUAUUGACGCUAGAGUAGGGAAUUAAAAAAUAUUGAUCUAAUUUUUUUUUUCGUAGCUACGAAUUUUUACCAACGCCAGAGUUGGAAUUAUUCGAGCUCGAAUAUUCACUGGCGUUAGAGUCAGGAAUAUUAUAAACAAAUCAUCAUAGCAUAAGAAAAUAAAUGUUUAGCAAUUUAAGACAAAACCAGCAAUGCAGUCUGCCUCAGGCAGAACGUUUAAGGGGUGAUAAUAUCUUCCCUUUUACGUAACCAAUCCCGAGCCAUAGAAUCUCUGUUGACCAGUUAGGGUUCCUGGUGACCAUAAUACUAGGUGGCGACUCCUCAAACAAGACCUUUUCCCCAAAAGAACAGGAUGCCAGAAAUCUGUUCUUUUUCCAAAAUAAUUUUAGAGAAUUAGUUUUUAGGGUCGCCGCGAUGUCGGGUGCGUUAUUGCGUUGAAAUAUUUAAUAUUAUUUAAUAUUAAGGAUGAUAUUUUGGAACAUGAAAUAUUUAUUCUUAUUUAAUUGUCAGCUCUUGUUAUUGCAUUGUGCGUUCUGUAAGUAUGUAAUUGAAGAUUUUGUGUAGGAGGAUAGACACCCAUACAAACAGAAGCUGCAAAAAUAUUAACAGUUUUAUUGAUGGCUAUACCGACGGCCUGGAACCCUUCAGUAUUAUACCGAGAGUUGAAAAAAAAAUUAUAGUGUUCUUUGUUUUGUGUAUUGUUUGUAUUUAUUUUAUUUAUUUUAUUUUAAUUAUGAUUAUUUUUUUAGUGUUCUUUGUUUUGUGUAUUGUUUGUAAAUAAAAUCUUAAAAUCAACACACUAUUAAGGUAAACAUUUUUUAUUCCUAAAUUUAUUUUGAAUUUAUGUAGUGUUCUUUAGUUUUGUUUAUUGUUUUUUGUGUUUAGGAUGUUUUGUGUAGUGCUCUUUAGUUUUUUCUUUUAAUUUAUUAAUUUUAUGAUAUUAUUGUUUGUAUUGCCAUAAUAAAGAAUGUUAUUGUUCAAUUUAUGUUUAAAAUGUUAAUUGAAAUAUAGAAUUAAAUUUAAUUAGUUUAUCUUAAUUUUAGGAUAUUAUUGUUUGUAUUGCCAUAAUUGUUAUUGCUGAAUUUUUGUUUUAAAUGUUAAUUGAAAUAUAAAAUUAAAUGUAAGUAGUUUAUCUUAAUUUUAGGAUAUUAUUGUUUGUAUUGCCAUAAUAAAGAAUGUUAUUGUUGAAUUUAUGUUUAAAAUAUUAAUUGAAAUAUAGAAUUAAAUUUAAUUAGUUUAUCUUAAUUUUAGGAUAUUAUUGUUUGUUAUGUUUUUUAUUAUUUUGAAUAAUUUUAAUUGUUGUUUAUGAAUUUGUAUUGAUGUUAGUUGAAAAUAUAUAGAUGUUGAAUUUCUAUAGAUGUUAGGUUGUAUAGAGUUGAUUUUGCAAUAUUUGUGUAAUUAUCAAUAUUUGUAGGUUUGAAAACUGUGGCUAGUCUCUAAUAUAGGGGAGGUGCUUUCGAAUUUUUUUAAAUGCUUGAAUUUUUAUAGAUGUUAGGUUGUAUAUAUGAUAUUGCUGGAGUCAACUGGAUUGUGGUUAUUGUAAAGAUUGUAUAUAGCUCAUUUUUCCAAGAGUUGGCGACUCAUAAAUCGCAAGGAGGAGGGACAAAAAAUUUAGAAAUCUAGGGCGCUAAAAAAACCUAUAUAUUUUUUAGUAUUUUAUACUCUCACGACUCGUAAACCGUGGAGAAAAAAAAAGAUUGAAAUGUCCUUGAUUAUAAUCAAGACUUCUUUCAAGGAUGUGUGCCGAUUUAUUACUCCCAAUAAUAUUUUGGAUAUUCGUCUUUUAAGGAUUUUUUUUAUCCAAAUAUUAGCGGUGAAUAAUAGAUGAAUUCCCCCCAAAAUAAGAUUUUUAUAUUUUUUGGAAUAUUGGCCAAUAUCCUUUGGAGUUUUACAAACAUGUUGUAAAAUCCAGAAAUGUAAGAAAAUAAUUUUUUUGUUGUGUUUACGAAAUCCAUGCGAAAACACAUUUUUAAAACUUUCAAUAUUUUUUGUAUAAAAAAAACAUUCAAAACAUGUUAGGGUAUUAACCGUAUGCAACACACAAGGAAACAUUUUUUAUAUAUUUUUUUUAUCAAAACACAAACAUCACAAUUAGACGUAAACACCAAAAUGGAAAGUAGCAAGCCAUCAUUCAUAUUACAAGAACUACAAGAAACUUGAAACAAUUCGUAACAAAAAUCAUUCAAAGCCAAAUCAACUUAAAAUUCUGUACACUAGAAAGGACUAAGCCCGUAAGCAUGAGGGAGCCAAAGUUAUGAAACUGAAAUUUUUAAAUGAAAAUCCUACUGCAUAUGACUCAUGACCUAUUUUCUUUUUAACAAUCCGGGAGAAAAAAUAAACUGCCAUGCUAGUUUCAUACAAAAAAAAACAAGAAGAGCUUGGGACGACAUGCUUUUAUAACACAUAUAUAUCAUGGACUAGAAACCAAAGCAAGACCUGGCCGGCUAUUUCAAUAAAAAAAUGGAAGGACACAAACAGAAUAGGGAGCUGCUGAUGAAGAAAACAACAGCCCCCUUCCCCGAUUCCUUAAUUCUGAAACAGCGAAAGAAAUGAGAUAAAGGAAAGGAUUAAGCCCGUAUGCAUAAGGGAGCCAAAGUUUUGAAACUGAAAUUUUUAAAUCAAAAUCCUACUGCAUGUGACCAUGACUCAUGACCUAUUUUCUUUUUAACAAUCCGGGAGAAAAAACUGCCAUGCUAGUUACAUACAAAAAGGAAGCUUGGGAUGGUAUGCUUUCAUACAAAAAGACAUGGCCGGCUAUUUCAAUAAAAAAAUGGAAGGACACAAACAAAAAAAGGGAGCUGCUGAUGAAGAAAACAACAACCCCCUGCCCCGGUUCCUUAAUUCUGAACCAGCGAAAGAAAGGAGAUAAAAAAAAGAACACCAGAGGCUAGCCAAAUCUUAACAUAGUCACCCAUCCAAAACUCAAAACCACGGCAGGAACAACACAAAGCAAGCGAGCAUUGUACAGUCUAAAAUUGAAAACGAAUGUGCAAAGCAAAGACAAAACAGGUACAAAAGUUUUUAAGGCAGCAAAGGAGGAGAAAAUUAAGGCUUACCUGCAGGUCUCACUGUUUUCUUUUCUAUAGAAGAUGAAAUAAAACCAAGCAAACGUAGCUGUCAAGGUUUAACAGCAAAGCUCCCUCUCCGUCUUGUCUUUUUUUUCUCUCCUCUUUCCUCACAAUAACACCAGAAUGCAAGAAAGAAAGCUCCCUCUAUUUGCUGCGUUUUUUACUCUACGUCUCUUACGUUUUUCUUAUCUGUCUUUGGCUGUUUCUUUCUCUACUCUUUUCUCUCCGUUUUUUCUCUUAUUUUUCUACUCUGUCCCGCUCGUUAGGUCAUUAAAAAGGUUUAUAUAUAGUCUAAAUAUGUCUCUAUUUAGGAAGGAUUCAAUGCAUUAAUCCUAGGACUCAAAUCCUUACUCAUUUGCAGUAAAAAAAUGCAAAAAGAAAACUGCAAUAUUCUGAUUUUGUGUAGGUGCUUUACGUCUGAUUUCUUUCCAGUUUUAGAGGAUGGUGUGACUCUUUUUUUUCCUUCCAUAGGGCCAGCUGCUCCCUUUGAAAUGAGGCAACAAAAACGUGGUUGCAGCUCCAAAAAUCAGGUAUGAUGAUAAAGGAAAAACAACAGGAAUUUGCAGCAAAAAAAGGAAAGAAAUCAGAUGGAGGGUGCAGCUGCAAAGUCUCAUUUUCCUUAUUCGGUGUGAAAAAAAUCUUGUCAUUUAUGAUGAUCCAACCCCCCUCUCCAGCUUUCCAUAUCCUUCAUUUCAAUCUCUCAUUUUAACACUUUUUGAUUCAGUCCUUGGUCUAACUCAAAAACUGACGAAUGCCGAGAAUCCUGGUAUGAUUGAGAGUAUGAACUAAUAACAAAAAUCACAAAAACUAGGCCAAAAAAUAGAUUUUUUUUAGUGCAGACUCGGGUCAAUAUCCUUCUCGCGGUAGAAUUCUCUACCUUCACGUUAGAUAUUCAAACGGGAACAUCUUGAGCCUCUGAUAUCGAAAUCAAGUGAUUCAAAAGCUCAAAUUCAUCUACGCAUCUAGGUCUGCAACUUUGAUGGAGGAGUUGAAGUGAAAUAAAAUCUUUUUACAGAACAGAAACUGACAGUAAUCUAGUUGGUCAAAAAGGAUCUUCGGGUCUAACUCAAAAACUGACGAAUGUCGAGAAUCCUGAUAUGACUGAGAGUAUGAACUAAGAACAAAAAUCACAAAAACUAGGCCAAAAAUAGAGAUUUUAUAGUGCAGACUUGGGUCAAUAUCCUUCUCGCGGCUGAAUUUUCUACCUUUACGUUAGAUAUUCAAACGGAAAUAUCUUGAGCUUCUGAUAUCGAAAUCAAGUGAUUCAAAAGCACAAAAUCAUCUGCGUGUCUAGGACUACAACUUUGAUGAAGGAGUCGAAGUGAGAUAAAAUCAUUUUAGAGAACAGAAUCUAGCAGUAAUCUAGUUGGUAAAAAAAAAGGUUCUUGAUCUGACAAUGCUGAGCAUCCAAAUCUGACUGAGAAUCUGCCUUAAGAACAAUGAUCCCUAGGACUUAAUAAAGGUGUGCGUCAAUUUUUUAACAUGUCAUGAGUGACAAAAUAUAACUAGGAUGGUCAGAUAUCGUACGAAACCGAGUCAGAAUCAGAGCCUAAGUUGGAACAAAAAAAAUUAUGACAAUAGCAAAACCAUUUUUUUUUGUGUGCAAAUUUUAAGGGAUUUAUUCAACCUUAAAGACCAGAUAAAAAAAAAAAAAUUAGCAUUAUGAAGACUCCUGAUCAACCUAAGAACCUGAUGAUUUUGGUAGUAAAGGGAAAGGAUAAAAAAAGCAGAAAACAACUCAAACAAGGUUUAAAAAAAAAACAAAAUAUUUCUUUCUGUGCUUUUGUCAAUCUUCUGGCGAAUAUAAGCUAAACUCCUACACUCUGUUCAAAAGAGGUAUACACCGUCUCUAGCAUGUGGGGUCCAAAAUUGAGUAACAACAGUAAAUAUUUAUCUUAAAUGCAGGCUUAUCACAUAAAUAAAAGGAUUGAUUGAUGAGUUUAAGUAUUGAAAUUGAAAGGACAAAGAGAGGGCUAAACUUAGAAAAGAGAUGUUGGUGUAGUCCAAACUGGAACACUGUUCGGUAAUUGGGUUAUAUCUCGAGUUCUUGAUGUCCAAAUGACCUCAAUGUUUUGGACAUAUUCGGUAAGACAUAGGUCGACAACUUUCAUGUGGAGUCCAAGAUUUAAAAAGGUCGUUUUCAAGUCCAAAUUAUAGCAACAACGGAGAAGUCUGAAUCUAUCCUGCAGCCCAAAUAUUGUUCAGUGUUCAGCUCAUAUCUCGAGUUCUAGAAGUCCAAAUGACCUCAAUUUUUUUUCCUGGAAAGAUAAGACAAUUUCCUAUAACUUUCAUGAGUACAGGUGGUUCCAGUUCUGAUGCUAGCAAUGACGUUUUAUUCAAACAAGAAUAUAAGGAUUUUCACCAAGUCAAGAGUUGGCCAUCCACUCAACAAUUAGUCAUCAAAUCAAUAGUUCCAAAUUUUGGUCUAUAAAAGGAGGUAUUUGCCAUGCAUUUAGGGGCUUGGUUGUUUAGAUCAAGAACUUGCUCAUGCUCUCUCUCUUUAUAUAUAUAUUUUUUGUAAUUCUUAAGUUUUGCUUUCAUUAAUAUCUUGUUUAUGCUUUUCAUUUCCUUUCCUUUACUUAGUUAACUUGUAUGUUGUUUAUGUUCUUAUUUUGUUUAUUUAUGUUUCUCUUCUUCAUUAUGUUUAACUAAGUUUGUUAUGUCAAGGUGAAAAGGUUACACUUAUGGUGUAAGAUAAGAAUGGUGUAAACUUAACAUGGACCUUAAUGUUUAAUAUUAACAUGUCUUAUCUUUUUAUCUUACUAAUUCUUAAUACCUUGCUUGUUAAAUGGUUAAUCUAUAAUUAAAUUUAAUUAAUUUAUCUUAAUUUUAGGAUAUUAUUGUUUGUAUUGCCAUAAUAAAGAAUGUUAUUGUUGAAUUUAUGUUUAAAAUGUUAAUUGAAAUAUAGAAUUAAAUUUAAUUAGUUUAUCUUAAUUUUAGGAUAUUAUUGUUUGUUAUGUUUGUUAUUAUUUUGAAUAAUUUUAAUUGUUGUUUAUGAAUUUGUAUUGAUGUUAGUUGAAAAUAUAUAGAUGUUGAAUUUCUAUAGAUGUUAGGUUGUAUAGAGUUGAUUUUGCAAUAUUUGUAUAAUUAUCAAUAUUUGUAGGUAUGAAAACUGUGGCUAGUCUCUAAUAUAGGGGAGGUGCUGUUGAAUUUUUUUAAAUGAUUGAGUUUCUAUAGAUGUUAGGUUGUAUAUAUGAUGUUGCUGGAGUCAACUGCAUUGUGGUUAUUGUAAAGAUUGCAUGUUUGAAAAUUGUGGGCAGUCUCCAGUAUAGGGUAGGUGCUGCCGAAUUUUUUUUAAAUAAUCAAAGUUAAUUAUGUAUCAAAUGAAAUCUAUAGCACGUCGUCAGCAGGCAGUUGCAGCUAGUUCUUCUAGCAGCAAGGAGGACAUCUCCUUAGGUGCUGAUCAUGGCGAGGCAUCUGUGCCAACUUGUGAUGUUGACUUUUCUAGCGCAGUUUCAUAGCACAGAGAUGGUGUGCCUUCACAGCGGGGUCAAUUCACCUGCAAGUACCAGGCACAAUGGAAGGAUGACCUCUUAAUGUAAGUUUGUUUAGGUUUUAGUUUUUUUAUACUUAUAACAUAAUUUAUGAACAACUAAUUACUAUUUUAUUAAUUUUAUUUAAUUUCAGGUUCACAAACAUUAAGACUGGCAGAACAAUAAUAUUGGUGUUUAAAUCAUCAAUGGAUAUUCCAUUGUUUCAAUGGAGUCAGGUCUCCAGACAUCCUGAGUGAAGACCUCAUAUCGAUGCCUAGUUUUGGCGAUUUCAGGUAGGUGUUAAUUUUUAAUAAAUAAUUUUUUGUAAUUUUAUAUGUUGUACUAUUUUUAUUAUAAAUGAAGUAUUUAUAUACACAAAAUAAAUUUGAGUGGGAUAGCGCGAACAACACUGUUGUUAUGAAGGUAUGGGAGAAUCACGCGGCAACUAAGGAACAUCGAAAAUAAUAUUUAUUUUUUAUUUAUAAUUUUAGGUUCAAAAUUAUAAUUAGUUAGUAUGGAAGUAGGUUGCGUGAUUUUUUGUAUGACAAAAAAAAGCGAAAAGAUAUGCGAGGGACAACGGUCUUGAAGGAUGGAUGAGGUGGCACUUUUGGCGGGAAUUCAAACCGCCAUUCAUCUCGGGAGAUAUAUGGGCGACUUAUAUUAAGCAUGUAACGUCUAAGCGGUUCUCACGGCACUCAUAGUCCGACACCGACAACCAGAACCAACAAAUUCAUGAUUCGAUGACCACGCACACCGGCGGCUCCGUCCCGUUCAGCGCACAUGCGAAUUGGAUGGUAAGAUUAAUUUAAAUGAAAUAUAUCAUUAAUUAAUUUGUUGUUGCUUAUAAAUAUAUUUAACUUGCAACUUUUUUUCCUUAUAAGCUAUGUUUCUUGGACAUGAGCCGAGUCCAAUGGAGCUAUUUAUAGAGAUGCAUGUGCGGAGUCAAGACCACCCAAAGGUGGUGCAGUAGUUUGUGGACAACCAUGCUCAGCACUUCGUGGUAUGUUCGUUCAAUCAUUUUAUUUUAUAAGUUCUUAUUUUCUUGAAUUGAAUAUGAUGAUUUUUUUUAACUUUUCAGGAGACCUAUAAUAGUUGGUUGAGGGAUAGAUAUGGGGACAAUCCUUCGACCCAUUCGGAUUUCGAUCCAGAUUUAUUGAUGGAGAUCGGAUCGUCUGGUGGACCCGAUAAAAAUCGAGUCUAGAAGCUCUCCAACACUAUGGUAGAAAACUUGUGGUCAACCCAUAGUGUCUCAACCAGGAGCUCUCCAUCAUUAUCGAGCACCCAGUUAGAGGAGUUCAUAGCCUUGAAACAACAAUAUGAACGCCUCUCGACAGAUUAUAAUCAACUCUAUCAAAUGGUCAUGAAGAUCAAAUCAAGGAUUGGUGACGAUACAUAUGCAACCCCUUUUUAGCCGUACGAUUCCGGGAACAACCAGCCUCCUCCUCCUCCUCCAACUCCAUCGCUAUUUUAGUUUAAUUUUGUUUUUUAAGACAUUAUUUGUAAUGAAUAUUUGGAUGAAUAUUAUUUAACAUUAUUUUUACAUUUUUAAUGUUUAAUACAAAUUUAUUUGGUUAUUAAGUUUUUUUACUGCUAAUAAAUAAUUUUUUUAAAAAUAUUUUAAAUAAAUACCGAUGGCUUUCCAGACAGAACCAGGCCAUUAGUAUUUUUACCGAGAGUUGCAAAACAAUUACCACCCGUGCCACAAUCACUGACGGAUAUAUUCUGUCGGUAUUUACCAUUGCUAUUAUUGACAUAAUAUAUCCGUCGGUAUUUGUCAGAGAGUUCUGAAAGAUUUACCGCCAUGCCAAAAUCACCGACGGAAUAUCUGUCGGUGAUUACCAUUGAAAAUACAUAUGGAAUUAUUUUGUCUAUAAUAUUCUCGCGAGAAUGUUUUUGGCGCGCUUCGCUGUCUGUAACACCGUCGGUGUUCCAUCGUUGUUUUGUUUUUUUAAUUACCAAUAAAAUUGGUGACGGAAUGAGAAAUUACCGACGAUAAAAAUUCUUAUGGGCGGAUUACGUCGGUGAGGCCGUCGGUAAAAAUAUUAUCAACGGUUCGCGUGCCUCACACCGACGGAAUGAAUCCGUCGGUAAAACUGUUUAAUGGUGUAGUGUGAUGAAUGAUUUUAUAUUAUUCUCCAACAUGUCUUUUAAAAUGAAAGUUUCUUAAGUUUUAAAAUUUAUAUGGGUUUAAUAAUAUUUAUGUAUGUUUAGUUUUUUUUUUAAUUUACAUGGAGAAGAAUGUUGAUUGUGGUGAUAUUAAAACUUUUAUGGCUUAGUCAUUAAAACUCUAACAUCAUAAAAAAAAUCAUCUCAAGUAAAAAUUUAAAUUAAUAAAUGAAGUUUAAUAAAUGAUUUUAUAUAUAUUAUUUUUUUGACAAAUAAACUUUCCAUAUAAUCAUCUUUGAGAUUCGAAUUUUAGAAGUGGUUACUGGAAUAUUAUGUUAUGUAUAUUAAUCUGUAUUUAAAUCAUAGUUUACUUAAGACUUGAUUGGAGAGGAAUUCAAGUGGUGUUUUCGUCCUUUUUUGGUUGAAAGGCAAUGUUUCAGUCAAGUUAAUGCAUGUAUGUUGUAUAAAGCAGCACAGGCUGGCCUGGUGGCAGGAGUGAUUGAGAUUGCGGCUGGAUUGUGUUUUUAAAAUAACUUGAAUUUUAAAUAAAAUUUAAUUUUUUUUUAAAUACAGUUUAAAACACGUUCGCAAGCUAGCUGAAUUUUCAAGAAUACAUGAUUGCUGAUUCAAACACAUGUUUAUCAUUGCGAAUUAAGGGGAAAAAAAACAAAAGAAAGAAGAAGAAAACUAGGCUAUGCUUUGGCAAGUAGUACAGCAAGGAAGGAAACCAUGCCACGCCACUAAAACCAUGCAUGGACCCAACGAUUAUCCCUUCUGCGUGAUACACGAGCAGAUACAGUUAAAAGAAGAGCAAGAAACCAAGAAAAACCCUUCUCUUGAUAUAUUAUGAUGGGAUUUUCAGAUUCUUAUGAGGUCCACUCGAUUUUCGACCGACAAUUAUGAGAACCCUUCUUAGUACAAAGAAGGGGCUGGUAGACCCUACUAUUAAUUGAGCUACAUGCUCAUUGGCUAAGACUAUUUCCUCUUACUUGAAGGAAGGAGACUAGUGAGCGAUAUUCAUUCACAAUUAUUUAUUUUUAAAUCAUUUAAGUAUUUCAACAUUAACUUAAUAUGUCACUUUAAAUUAAACAUGCUUGUCAUUGCCCUAUCUUAUAAUUAUAAGACAUUUCUAAUAAAUAAUAUUUAUAUAGUAUUAUUUAUUAAGGGUAGAACUUUCAGUUUAACCUAUAUAUACUUUAUUUGUAUUUAGGUUAAGUUUAAGCACUUAUAAUAAAUAGAUUAUUGAGAAUUCUAACCUCUUUUCUGUGUUUGUUCUUAGUUAUUUUAACAUGAUAUCAGAGCUAGUUUUAUAAAACGAGGCUUAAUUCUGAACACAACUUCACAGAUCCAACUCUAUGGUGAGUUGGUUGGGGGUUUACAGAAGGUAGCGCGCCCCUGCCAGAGUUCGGGGCAAAGUCUAAGCACUCAUAAAUAUAGGUUAAAUUGAAAGUACUAUUUUACCCUUAAUAAAUUAGACUGCAUAAAUAUUAUCUAAUAUUUCCUCUCAAACUCACGAUGCAGUUAAACCUAAACAUUCAUAAUAAAUAAAUUAUUGAAAAUUCUAACCUCUUUUUUAUUUUAACAAUCUCCUCGUCUUACCGUCGCUUGUUCUUCUUAAUUGUAAUCUUCCAGUAGAAUAGAAUGAGUGUGUAAUUAAACUUUUUGUUAUGUUGUCUCCUACUUUCCUUCUCCUUCCCAGUAUGAGUCUGGUUUGCUCCAGGUUAGUGAUUCUAAAGAUAGCUUCCAAGCAAGAAAGUAGUGUGAAGGAACAAACAAAGAUGACUUACUUCUUACUAGGUUAGCUCUCUUUGCCUACCCUGUAAAUUCAAUUAAAAAGAAUGAACGGGAAUUUUUUUACAUAAUGCUUGUUUGUUUUCUUGUUUUAGUUAUAUAAAAUUAAGCAUAAAAACUUUAUGAUAAAUAAAAUACUAGACUGCUAAAUAUUUUAUAAAUAUACUAAUUUUAAAAAAUAAAAUACAUGAACUAGAAACUCAUAAACAAUCAAAUAGUAAAACUUUAGAAGAUAUAUAAUAACGGAUGAAAUUUGACAAUACUAUUUGUUUUAGUUAUAUAAAACUAAGCAUAAAAAAUUUCAAACAAACAAAAAUUAGAUUGCUUAAUAUUCUAUAAGCGUGAUCUUUUUCAUGCAGGAAGUAUAUUUUAGCCAUCUCCAUCAACCAACAUCCAAUCUAAUUAGCCAUAUCAAUCAAUUGAUUAAAAAUAAUAAACGAUUAUCCCUUCUGCGUGAUACACGAGCAGAAAAAGUCAAAGAAGAGCAAGAAACCAAGAAAAACCCUUCUCUUGAUAUAUUAUGAUGGGAUUUUCAGCUUCUUAUGAGGUCCACUCGAUUUUGGACCGACGAUUAUGAGAACCCUUCUCUUUAUGUUUCUUAUUACAAAGAAGAGGCUGGUAGACCCUACUAUUAAUUGAGCUACAUGCUCAUUGGCUAAGACUACUUCCUCUUACUUGAAGGAAGGGGACUAGUGAACGAUAUUCAUUCACAAUUAUUUAUUUUUAAAUCAUUUAAGUAUUUCAACAUAAACAUGCUUGUCAUUGCCCUAACGGAUGAAAUAGCAAAACAAUAAAACUUUAGAAGAUAUAUAAUAACGGAUGAAAUUUAACAAUAACAUUUUUUUUCCUUGUUUUAGUUAUAUAAAACUAAGCAUAAAAAAUUUCAAAUAAAUAAAAUACUAGAUUGCUAAAUAUUUUAUAAACAUGCUAGUUGAAAAAAAAUAUGAAAUACAUGAAUUAAAAACUCGUAAACAAUAAUACAGUAAUAGUUCAAAAAACAAAUAAAAACAUAUGAAAAAAUAGUAACAAUAUAAAAGAUAAACAAUAAAAAUGAAAUUUGAUAGUAACACUUGUUUUUUUUUAUGUAAUAAAUAUAUUUUAGCCAUCUCCAACAGCCAACAUCCAAUCUAAUUAACCAUAUCAAUCAAUUAAUAAAAAAUAAUAAUAAAAGAAAAGAAAAAAGGUUGGUUUUUAAUUAUUUCAACUUGUAUUUUAUUUUUGUUUUAAUUAUGUUAUAGUUUUAUUUUAAUUAAUUAUCAAUAUAUAAUUAAUUAAAAAAAUUUACAUAUAAUUUUACAAUUCAAGUUUACACUAUAUUUUUCAAAUUUCAUAUUGUUACUAUUUUUCCUUGUUUUAGUUAUAUAAAACUAAGCAUAAACAAUUUCAAAUAAAUAAAAUACUAGAUUGCUUAAUAUUUUAUAAGCAUGCUAGUUGAAAAAAUAUAUGAAAUACAUGAAAUAAAAACUCGUAAACAAUAAUACAGUAAUAGUUCAAAAGCCAAACAAAAACAGAUAAAAAAAUAGUAACAAUAUAAAAGAUAAAAAAUAACAAAUGAAAUUUGAUAGUAACACUCGUUUGUUUUCAAGUAGUAAAUAUAUUUUAGCCAUCUCCAACAACCAACAUCUAAUCUAAUUAACCAUAUCAAUCAAUUAAUAAAAAAUAAUAAUAAAAGAAAAGAAAAAAGGUUGGUUUUUAAUUAUUUCAACUUGUAUCUUAUUUUUGUUUUAAUUAUAUUAUAGUGUUAUUUUAAUUAAUUAUCAAUAUAUAAUUAAUUAAAAAAUUUUACAUAUAGUUUUACAAUUCAAGUUUACACUAUAUUUUUCAUAUCAUGUUAAAAAUGCCAUUAUCGCUUCACUCCUGCUUUAUAUUAUUACUUUUCAUGCCUUGUCUAAUCUAGUUGACUAUAUAUGGAUGAUGGGUCUAUAAAUACCAACCAAACCAUCUGGUGCAUUCAAACCAUCUUCUUUUCCUCCCUGGAUUUCUAUUAUAUCCAAUUCCAAAUGAUUCUUGAUGCUCUCAUUUUGGUAUUCCUUUAUGGUUUCUGGAAAAUCUUAGCCAGAAAUAGUGAAAGCAAAAAAUCAACAAGAGCCCCUGAACCAUAUGGGGCAUGGUCGUUAUUUGGUCACCUCCCUAGUCUAGUUGGCAAAGACCCAGCAUGUAAAACCCUCGGAGCCAUUGCCAAUAAAUAUGACCCUAUUUACUCACUCAAGUUCGGCAUAGUUGAGAAUAAUUGGGAGGCUUAACCUAAUAGGUAACCAACUCUUUCUAUAUAUAUAUGUAGGGCAAUAUACAAUAGUAAUGGUGGAGUUUACCACACAAGAGUAUGUCUACAAUAUUUCCUAUAUAAGUAUAUUCUAUGAUAUGCCCCCUCAAGCUGAGGAUGGAGGAUCAACCCGAAGCUUGAAGCGAAAAGCAGUAAACAAAGAAGUAGGAAGUGGCUUAGUGAAGACAUCGACAAGUUGAUCCUGAGAGGAAAUAAAAUGAAUCUGAAUCUCCUUCUUUGCAACUCUAUCUCGGAUAAAAUGAUAAUCGACCUCAACAUGUUUUGUGCGAGCAUGAAAAACAGGAUUCACAGACAAAUAAGUGGCACCAAGGUUGUCACACUAAAUAAUAGGAGCAGAAGCAGAUGGAAGCUGGAGAUCUGUUAAUAAGUACUGAAGCCAAAUAACCUCAGCAAUGCCAUCAGCUAAGGCUUUGUACUCAGCUUCAGUAGAAGAGCGAGCAACUGUGCGUUGCUUACUAGAUUUCCAUGAAAUCGGCGUCUGACCAAAAAACACAAGAUAACCACCUGUAGAUUUUCUGUCCUCAACACUGCCUGCCCAAUCUGUAUCUGUAAAACCAUGUAAGGCAAAAGAAGAACUGUAAGUAAUAUGUAAGCCAUGUGAUGCUGUACCCCGAAGAUAACGCAAGAUGCGUUUCACGGCAGCCCAAUAAGAAUCUGUAGGAGCAUGCAUAAAUUGACAGACUCUGUUAACAGUAAAGCAAAUAUCUGGGCGCGUAAAAGUGAGAUACUGAAGAGCACCCACAAUUUGAUGAAAGCGGGUAGCAUCUGAAAACAAUGGAUCGGGCAGAAUGGUAGCUUUGGAUGUAGAUAUAGGAGUAUCAACAGGUUUGUAAAUAAACAUACUAGCCUGAGUGAGGAUGUCAAGUAUAUAUUUAUGCUGGCGAAGCAUAAGACCCAUACUAGUAGAUUGAACCUAAAUACCUAAAAAAUAAUGAACAAAACCCAAGUCGCGAAGCUUAAAUUCUAAGCUCAGUAGCUGAAUGAGGCGUUGGAGUAGAAGAGAGUUACUACCCGUAAGUAGAAUAUCAUCAACGUAGAGGCACGAAAACCAAUAGAUAACAGGAAAUCAUUCAGACGAGUGUACCAAGCCCGCAGAGCCUGUUUUAAACCAUAUAGAGAUUUAUGCAAUCGGCACACAUGAGAGGGGAGAGCAGAAUCAACAAAACCUGGAGGUUGUUUCAUAUAUACCUCCUCAUCAAGAACACCAUUGAGGAAAGCAUUAUGGAUGUCAAGCUGAUGAAUUUUCCAACCACACGAAACUGCAAUGGAGAAGACUAAUCUAACGGUCGCAUGUUUGAUGACAGGACUAAAAGUUUCAGAGUAAUCAAUACCUUCUUGCUGAGUGAAACCUCUAGCAACCAGACGCCUUAUACAUCUUGAUGCUUCCAUUAGAUCUGCGUUUAAUCUUGUAUACCCACCGACUACCAACAACAUUCAUGGAGGGGUGAAACAACACUAAGGUCCAAGUUUUGUUUGUGCGUAAGGCCUGAAUUUCCUCACGCAUAGCACUAUGCCAUGCCUUAUAUCUGUUAGCAUCAUUAAAAACAAGUGGCUCAUGAGAGGGAGGAGAAACUACCCUGUUGAAGGAGACAGUAGAGGCUGCGAUAGUGGCUGUGGACAGCGCUGUCUUGGGCUGCCAUGGAUGAAGAAUCAUGGGAUGUUGACGAGCAGCUUGGCAUGGAGAAGUGUGACCUGUACCUGGAAGCUGCUGAAGAGGAUAUGAGGAGAGAUCUACACAGAGCUGCAGACCAGCUAGAGAAGCAGUGGAGGGACUGGUCGGCACUGCAGACACUGGUGAGGCUGCAGCAGAACUGGGAUGAUCUGCUGCAAAAACGGGUUGCUCUGUUGCAGCAGACCUGAGGACAUGCACAUCCAGUGAUGGAGAACCUGUUCCUGCACAAUGAUCAUUGGAAAGACAAGCAUAUGGUGACAGUGUGGCAGUGUUGGAUGGUGAUGAAAGGGUGGCAGAAUCUAUGGGCAAAGAGGUAGUCUGGUGGGGUGCGGCAGAGGGUAGAAUUGGGUUGUGGUUGGGGCCGGUUUGGUAAGUAGUAGGCUGAAAGGAUGGAGGAGGGUUCAAGGAUGGAAGAUAGGUAGGUGGGGUGGGAGGUAUUGGUGAGGAUGUUACCUGUUUAAACUUUGCAAAAGGAAAGACAUUUUCAUGAAAACGAACAUGACGGGAGAUAUAAAUAUGAUCAGACUCUAAGUCAAGACAACGAUAACCAAGAUGGGAUGAGCUAUAACCUAAAAACACACAAGGAGAAGACCAGAAAUCUAAUUUAUGAGCAUGAUAUGGACACAAAAAGGGGAAACAAAGACACCUAAAAGGACGUAGGAAGUUAUAAUCAAGAGUGCGUCGAAACAAACACUCAAACGGAGAUGUAUUUUGGAGAACAAGAGUAGGCAUGCAAUUAAUAAGGUAGACUGAUGAUUCAAAAGCAUAGUUCCAAAAUCACAAUGGGGCACUACACUGGCCUAAAAGGGUUAGGCCAGUUUCGACAAUAUGUCGAUGACAACGUUCAACACUGCCAUUUUGUUCAUGAGUAUGAGGACAAAUUAACCGAUGAUGAAUACCAAUGGUCUGAAAAAAUUUAUUUAAUUUAUGAUAUUCACUGCCCCAAUCAAUUUGAACAGAUUUAAUUUUAAGAGAAAACUGACGCCUAACAAGUGUUUGAAAACGUUGAAAAAUGGAAAAGACAUCAGAUUUCACAACAAGCGGAUAAUACCAUAUAUGUUUGGUAUGCACAUAAAUAAAAAUAACAAAAUAGCGGAAGCCAUCAGAAGAAAACAUAGGGGCAGGACCCCAAACAUCACUAAAAAUUAAUUCAAGUGGGGCAGAAGUUUUGUGACCCGUAGGUCCUAAUGACAAACGGGACGACUUUCCUAAAGGACAAGCUUGACACUGAGUAAGAGAACGUCUAGAAGUACAUAUGAUUUUAUUACCGGAAACUAACAAAUUGAAAAUGCGAAGGGUUGGAUGACCCAAACGACGAUGCCACAUGUCGACAGUCGCAGAGAUGUAAGGAGACCAAAAAGCUUGAGGAACUGACGUGGCAGAAGACUCGGACAUGAAAUAAAGACCAUCAUGACUCUGACCGAAAAGGAGAACUUCCUUGGUGAUGAGAUCCUUCACAUAAAUCAUAGAAGCGUGAAAUUUAAAAUAAACAUGAUUAUCACGAUAAAAUUUUUGAACAGAUAACAAUGGUUUGGUAAUGUGAGGCACAUGGAGAACAUUAGAUAAUGUAAACAUGCAUUUUGGGGAUUGUAAUUUAGUAUGUACAAUAUGGGUUAUGUUAAGGCCCUUACCGUCACCAACAUGCAAAUAAACAUUACCAAGAUAGGGUGCAGAAUCGGUUAGAGAUCUAAGAUCAGGUGUGACGUGUUGAUUUGCGCCGAUGUCAGGGAACCAAGUCGCAACAUAAAUAUUCCCAACAGCAAGAUGAGCAGAGGGCUGCGGAGAGUUGCUAUGAAAUUGGGAACAAUAGGGAGCUGUGUGCCCAGCACCGGAAUUACGCCUGGUCUGCUGCCAGUGGUUUGGACGCCAAUCUGCAGCAGAUUGGCUCCUGUUAUGGGAGUAAAACGGUUGUUAUGGGGACGCUAAUUACCUCUAGAGCGACCCCUGUUACCUCUAGAGCGACAUAGCAUGGUAUGUAGAAAACUGUGGUGUUGGCAGCAGAGGUGGCUGCUGCGGCAGAGAAGAAGAAGACAACAGAGAGGGACCGACAACCAUGGAAUGGAAGGAGUUCUUGUGCAGAAAUUCAUGGGUAAGAAGGUGCCUGUGAAGACCAACAUAGGAUAACGGUUCUGCCUUGGUUAUGAGACUCGUUACCAAGUCUUUGAACUCACCACGAAGGCCACGAAACAUAUAAAGAUUGAAAUCUUCAAGAGACAUGGGGCGACCAGCAAUAGCCAAUUCGUCAAAUAAUGAUUUGGCUUGCUGCAUGUAUAGACUAACCAAUGAGUCACCUUGUCAAAGCUCUUGAAAGGAGCCAUGAAGUUGCAUGAUGCGAGAAUUAGAUGGAGAGGCAAGCGCUUUCUCAAGAGUGCGCCAAACACAAUGCGAAGUAGAACAAUCUACCACGAGAUGCAACACAUCCACGGAGAGAGAGGAGAGUAAAGCACUCAAAAUAAGUUGAUCCUGUUGCUUCCAACGAAGAAAAGAAGGGUUGAUGAUAGAGGAAGAAUGAGCAGAGCUGUCAAAAAUAUGAGAUGGAGGACACGACACUGAGCCGUCAACGAAGUGAAAAACACCUUGACCAAGGAGAUAUGGCUUCAUCUGCAUUCUCCAAUAGAGAUAAUUUGUGUUCAUAAGCUUUAGCGAAACAACUUGGUGAAUGCUCGCUAAAGGAAUAAUAGAUGUAGUGUGGGUUCCCAUGAGAGGUAAAGGAACGACAGGGACUUGGGAGGAAGAAUCAGAGACAAGCUCUGUAAGUGGAGGCUGCUGUGGGGAGGAAAAAGCACCAGCGGCAGCAGCUUGGGGUUGGCUGGCCGGCUGUACUGCGCCACCUAUGGAGAGGGAGAAGUCGGCGGCAGCAGUAGAAUCCAUGGAGAGAAAGUAAAGAGUUCUGACGGCAGAAGGCUCUGAUACCAAGUUGAGAAUAAUUGGGAGGCUUAACCUAAUAGGUAGCCAACCCUUUCUAUAUAUAUAUAUGUAGGGAAAUAUACAAUAGUAAUGGUUGAGUUUACCACACAAGAGUAUGUCUACAAUAUUUCCUAUAUAAGUAUAUUCUAUAAUAGGCAUUCAUCGAACUCUAGUGGUCAGUAGUUGGGAAAUAGUGAAGGAUUGCUUAAACACCAAUGACAGAGUUUUGGCUAAGAGAGCAGGCAUAACAGGAGGGAAACAUAUGUUUUAUGACAACGUAGCUUUUGCAUUAGCCUCAUAUGGACAGUAUUGGCGAGAUGUCCGAAAGCUGGCCACUCUUCAGCUUCUAUCAAAUCAGCGGCUUGAAAUGCUCAAGCAUGUCCGUGUGUCAGAAGUAGACACAUUCAUCAAAGGUUUGCACAGUUUUUAUGUAGGAAAUGUGGACUCCCCUGCGAAGGUGAAUAUAAGCAAAUUGUUGGAAAGCUUGAUGUUCAACAUAAACCUUAGAACAAUAGUCGGGAAGCGAUAUUGCAGCAGCACAUAUGACAAGGAGAACAACGAG
rnacentral:lncRNA from 1 species